GGGCGUAAAGCGCGCGCAGGGUGGUUCCUUAAGUCUGAUGUGAAAGCCCACGGCUCAACCGUGGAGGGUCAUUGGAAACUGGGGAACUUGAGUGCAGAAGAGGAAAGUGGAAUUCCAAGUGUAGCGGUGAAAUGCGUAGAGAUUUGGAGGAACACCAGUGGCGAAGGCGACUUUCUGGUCUGUAACUGACACUGAGGCGCGAAAGCGUGGGGAGCAAACAGGAUUAGAUACCCUGGUAGUCCACGCCGUAAACGAUGAGUGCUAAGUGUUAGAGGGUUUCCGCCCUUUAGUGAUGCAGCUAACGCAUUAAGCACUCCGCCUGGGGAGUACGGCCGCAAGGCUGAAACUCAAGGAAUUGACGGGGGCCCGCACAAGCG
rnacentral:rRNA from 1 species